rnacentral:rRNA from 1 species
AAUAGAUACCCGGGUAGUCCACGCCGUAAACGAUGUCGACUUGGAGGUUGUGCCCUUGAGGCGUGGCUUCCGGAGCUAACGCGUUAAGUCGACCGCCUGGGGAGUACGGCCGCAAGGUUAAAACUCAAAUGAAUUGACGGGGGCCCGCACAAGCGGUGGAGCAUGUGGUUUAAUUCGAUGCAACGCGAAGAACCUUACCUACUCUUGACAUCCACGGAAUUUAGCAGAGAUGCUUUAGUGCCUUCGGGAACCGUGAGACAGGUGCUGCAUGGCUGUCGUCAGCUCGUGUUGUGAAAUGUUGGGUUAAGUCCCGCAACGAGCGCAACCCUUAUCCUUUGUUGCCAGCGGUUAGGCCGGGAACUACAAAGGAGACUGCCAGUGAUAAACUGGAGGAAGGUGGGGAUGACGUCAAGUCAUCAUGGCCCUUACGAGUAGGGCUACACACGUGCUACAAUGGCAUAUACAAAGAGAAGCGACCUCGCGAGAGCAAGCGGACCUCAUAAAGUAUGUCGUAGUCCGGAUUGGAGUCUGCAACUCG